AUUGAACGCUGGCGGCAUGCUUUACACAUGCAAGUCGAACGGCAGCGGGGUAGUGCUUGCACUACUGCCGGCGAGUGGCGAACGGGUGAGUAAUAUAUCGGAACGUACCGAGUAAUGGGGGAUAACCAAUCGAAAGAUUGGCUAAUACCGCAUACGUCCCGAGGGAGAAAGCGGGGGAUCGCAAGACCUCGCGUUAUUCGAGCGGCCGAUAACUGAUUAGCUAGUUGGUGGGGUAAAGGCCUACCAAGGCGACGAUCAGUAGCGGGUCUGAGAGGACGAUCCGCCACACUGGGACUGAGACACGGCCCAGACUCCUACGGGAGGCAGCAGUGGGGAAUUUUGGACAAUGGGGGCAACCCUGAUCCAGCCAUGCCGCGUGUAUGAAGAAGGCCUUCGGGUUGUAAAGUACUUUUGUUAGGGAAGAAAAGGGAAGUGCUAAUACCACUUUUUGCUGACGGUACCUAAAGAAUAAGCACCGGCUAACUACGUG
rnacentral:rRNA from 1 species